rnacentral:rRNA from 1 species
GAUGAACGCUGGCGGCGUGCCUAAUACAUGCAAGUCGAGCGAACAGAUAAGGAGCUUGCUCCUUUGACGUUAGCGGCGGACGGGUGAGUAACACGUGGGUAACCUACCUAUAAGACUGGGAUAACUUCGGGAAACCGGAGCUAAUACCGGAUAACAUUUGGAACCGCAUGGUUCUAAAGUGAAAGAUGGUUUUGCUAUCACUUAUAGAUGGACCCGCGCCGUAUUAGCUAGUUGGUAAGGUAACGGCUUACCAAGGCGACGAUACGUAGCCGACCUGAGAGGGUGAUCGGCCACACUGGAACUGAGACACGGUCCAGACUCCUACGGGAGGCAGCAGUAGGGAAUCUUCCGCAAUGGGCGAAAGCCUGACGGAGCAACGCCGCGUGAGUGAUGAAGGGUUUCGGCUCGUAAAACUCUGUUAUUAGGGAAGAACAAACGUGUAAGUGACUGUGCACGUCUUGACGGUACCUAAUCAGAAAGCCACGGCUAACUACGUG